GACAUCAGCGUUCAGCGCUGCUGCAGGAGGACCAGCUGCAUUCACUGCUGGGUGCUGGUAAGCUGCAGGGAAAGCCUUUGCACGUGACGGAUCUAAGCACAUCUGGGAGCUGGCUCUUCUCAGGCCGAGAGCAGUGAAUCACUGCAGAGGAAGAUCACCUACAGCUUUCACUUUGUGGGUGACACUCAUGGCAGUGUGAUUACUUGGAAUUUGAGGUGAAAAUGCCCAGCCGGAGAGAUCAAGUCAAGACAGAGAAAAAUGAGCAGCACGUUAAAGAAUAAUCUUUUGGGCUCUAUGUCUUCUCGUGCCAUGGGCGGGCCAGCAGGCCUAAAGAGACCGUGCAGAACUCUUCAUUAAAACAAAGAAUGAGCAGGGUCCGUUCCAGCCACAUCAAAGCUUGUUUAAGAAACUUCACAGUGGUCAAUGCAUAGGAAAAUGUACCUGGACACAGUUUCUGGUCCUCGUUGUUUAGAGCUCACUUUCUGCUAUUCCACCUGUUACACGCAAUACAUCCACACACGUACACACGCACAGAACCCCCUCUGGAUGUUCAGUUUUGUGGCACAUUAUGUUCUUCCUUCACGCUUUUUUUGGAAGCCUGCUAUGCUGCUGACCCAAUUUCUACUUUGUGGCGUAAACCCCUCAGGCUAAUAAUGAACUAUUGAAAAGAGCCUCUCCUUCAGUCAUUUUAAAAUCAGUUGCUUUUCAUCCUGUUGAGUGCUUUCCAGUUACUAUAGCGAAGUAGAGAAGCUCGUGUGACCCUCCUGAAAUUUACGUGUUUGCUUCUACUUCCAAACCAUUGUAAGAAACCUUUCCUUACUUUAGUUUUUUCACUGUGUCUUUUUCUGUUUUGGUACUUCAAUACCUGACUGACAACCUACUGAGAGGCAGGGAGAGAUGAGAACAGAACUAACUUAGCUGUAUGAGAGGGAAGGAAGUUCAGUUUUCUUACCCCAGAGAACCGCCUUCAAGCUCACACCUGGUGGAAAGAUCAGGAGUUCCAGCAGAUGAAUGAUUCUAGUCCAGAAUGACUUCACCUAUCUGAAAAAGGAGUUGUUUGUCAAUUUUGUCUAAGCUGCCAGGUUUCCCUAGAAAUAGCGUUCCAGCUUUUCAUAAGCCUGGAGACAUUUUUGUCAUUUCAACAUCGCUCAGUCUAUUAUAUCCUGCCAGCCACGUCUAGAUAAACCGUAAUGAAAGCUGCUGCCUCUGUUAUAUACCCACAUCUACUCUGUCAACAAGCUUUCAGUACCGUGGCCAUUACAAAAGCUCUAAAAUUUGAUCUGCCAUUGAUGAUAGGCAGGUUCCAAUUUGUGGCUGCUAGCCUGCAAAAAUGAUCUCCAAAUGGCAUGUUGCAGGCUGUGAUUUUGCAUCCCGCAGGAUGGUGUUCUGGUCCUCCCUUCCUUCCGUUGUGAAGGUCAUUCCUCCAGAUCAGAAAUUACUGUUGCUCUAAGAGACUCUGGGAGCUGUACAAGAAGCUUAAUUUAAAAUAAAAAUACGGGC
rnacentral:lncRNA from 7 species